rfam:Triticum aestivum genome assembly, contig: Triticum_aestivum_CS42_TGACv1_scaffold_229799_3B
CAAAUACUCCCUCCGUCCGGAAAUACUUGUCAUCNNCAAAAUGGAUAAAAAGAAAUGUAUCUAGACGUAUUUUAGUUUUAGAUACAUCUAUUUUUAUCCAUUUUGAUGACAAGUAUUUUCGGACGGAGGGAGUAGAAA